rnacentral:rRNA from 1 species
AGAAGAACAACAGGGAUUGCCUCAGUAACGGCGAGUGAAGCGGCAACAGCUCAAAUUUGAAAUCUGGCCCCCCUGGCGGGGCCCGAGUUGUAAUUUGCAGAGGAUGCUUUUGGUGAGGCGCCUUCCGAGUUCCCUGGAAUGGGACGCCAUAGAGGGUGAGAGCCCCGUCUGGUUGGAUGCCGAGCCUCUGUAAAGCUCCUUCGACGAGUCGAGUAGUUUGGGAAUGCUGCUCUAAAUGGGAGGUAUAUGUCUUCUAAAGCUAAAUACCGGCCAGAGACCGAUAGCGCACAAGUAGAGUGAUCGAAAGAUGAAAAGCACUUUGAAAAGAGGGUUAAACAGUACGUGAAAUUGUUGAAAGGGAAGCGCUUAUGACCAGACUUGGUCCCGGCGGAUCAUCCGGCGUUCUCGCCGGUGCACUCCGCCGGGCGCCAGGCCAGCAUCAGUCCGCGCCGGGGGAUAAAGGCCCCGGGAAUGUGGCUCCCUCGGGAGUGUUAUAGCCCGUCGCGCAAUACCCUGGGGCGGACUGAGGAACGCGCACCCGCAAGGAUGCUGGCGUAAUGGUCAUCAGUGACCCGUCUUGAAACACGGACCAAGGAGUCGUCCUCGUAUGCGAGUGUUGGGGCGUGAAACCCCCUGCGCGUAAUGAAAGUGAACGCCGGUGAGAGCUUCGGCGCAUCAUCGACCGAUCCUGAUGUUCUCGGAUGGAUUUGAGUAAGAGCAUACGGGGCCGGACCCGAAAGAAGGUGAACUAUGCCUGUGUAGGGUGAAGCCAGAGGAAACUCUGGUGGAGGCUCGCAGCGGUUCUGACGUGCAAAUCGAUCGUCAAAAUGGGCAUGGGGGCGAAAGAC